rnacentral:rRNA from 1 species
UACAGGGGGGGCAAGCGUUGUUCGGAAUUACUGGGCGUAAAGGGCCAGUAGGCGGCCAACUAAGUCCGACGUGAAAUCCCAAGGCUUAACUUUGGAACUGCGUCGGAUACUGGAUGGCUUGAAUUCGGGAGAGGGAUGCAGAAUUCCAGGUGUAGCGGUGAAAUGCGUAGAUAUCUGGAGGAACACCUGCGGUGUAGACGGCUUACUGGACGGUAACUGACGCUGAGGCACGAAAGCGUGGGUAGCAAACAGG